rnacentral:lncRNA from 1 species
ACCCUCCUCUCCUCUCUUUUCAGCCACCAACAACAAAGGGAAGAAAAGGAUCUUGGUGGCCUCCUUCUUCCUCCACCAUUUGGUUCCAACGCAAGGAAGAAAAAGAAGGCUGCAGGGCUUCGUUCCUCUUCUUCUCUUCAUCCUUCUUCUUCCUCCUUCCAAGCACAAUCAAGGAUUGAUUGAAAGGGAGGAUAUCAGCCAUCAAAGUUAUCUCUGCAAGGGAGCUAGCACCCCGGGGAGAUAGAAAGCUUGGAUCGAUUUUCUGCUUCGUGUGGAUAUCCGUAGAGGCCGGGCACUUGAACGGCUUCAAGCGAACCUUCAUCCUAAACCACGAUCAUCAGUUUGCGGUGAUCAUCUACCCGCACAAAGGUGAAGAUCUGAUCUUUCUAAUUGUUUAAAAAGUU